CUAAAGUGUUUAAUGGCACUUCUAAUCCAUUACCCACCUUGUGUGCAUUGUCAGGAGAAGGAUCUCUCUUUGAGGAAUCUUUCUCUUUUUCAUUCCACUCUUUCUUAAACAUCAGUCUACAUCAAUUGAGAACUAAAAAUCUCUAAUA
rnacentral:misc_RNA from 1 species